rnacentral:rRNA from 1 species
UACGUAGGGGGCGAGCGUUGUCCGGAAUGACUGGGCGUAAAGGGCGCGUAGGCGGCUUUUUUAAGUCUGGAGUGAAGGUCCUGCUUUCAAGGUGGGAAUUGCUUUGGAUACUGGAGAGCUUGAGUGCGGAAGAGGUAAGUGGAAUUCCUGGUGUAGCGGUGAAAUGCGCAGAUAUCAGGAGGAACACCUAUUGCGAAGGCAGCUCGCUGGGACGUAACUGACGCUGAGACGCGAAAGCGUGGGGAGCAAACAGG